GCGGAACAGAGUUCAAACUGCUUUGCAGGACAUUUCUGAUUUCCCCAGCCAAAAGCUCAGAGCAGAAGAGACGAUGCCAAGCAAGAGGAAGAAGAACAGGAGGAGGAUGAGGAGAGUGGUAAAAGCUGAGGAACAGACUAUACCUCAGGUGGUCAGAGCCAAUGAAGCUGGGCCAACCAAGUAUGAGUCAGGGGCUGAAACUGAAACAGUCUCCAAGUUACAAUCAGACAUUGGUGAAGCUGAAGCUGUGUAUGCUGAACAGUGGGAGAAAUCUGCUUCAGAAACUGCAGUGGAACCUUUACCUGUUCUAGAGGAACAGAGAGAACCCUCCCAGGAAGAAACUACAGGGAGAGUGACUGAGAUAAAGGAAACACUGCUGUCCCAGUCUACUGAAGCUGAAACCAGAGGAGAGUUUUCCAUGGAAACAGAUGCUGCAGAGGAACCAGAAGCUGCUUCAAGUGACCCAUCCACUACAGAUGACCCUGCAGAUGAUCCUGUUGAUGAUCCUGUAGAUGAUCUGAUGGAAGAGCCAGUAGCAGAAAUGCAGAGUCACACACACCUCAGCUCUAUGCGGGUGGACGGCCCGGACUCUGUCGGGGGACUUCUGGCUCCCGCUGAAGUCUUUAUUGAGGGUUAAACUUGACCGGAGGGGAGGAACCGCUGGUGAUCUGGAUCUGCUGAACUGUGCAUUUCUGUCUUUAAACAGUGUCAGAUAUUGAUUAUUAUUACUCUAAUGGGUGCUGAUCAGUUUUGGAAUUAUUCAUUAAAGCUGGCAGAUAAAUGUAUGUUUUAUAUGUGUAUUAAAACAGUUGUUGUAUUUUGGAGGAAACCGAAAAAAGUGUUUGGAUUUGGUGAUCUGGACUGAUUGGAUUAAUCAAUACAAGAUUAAUUCAAACUAAACUUAACCUUUUUAGAAACACUGUUACUUCAACAGCUUUUGAUCCAUUAUUGAAAAAGAAUGUUUUUUUUUUUGUUGUUGAUACAUUAUUUACGGAUUCCUGCAGCUGGUCCUCUUUUACUAUCCUUACGUUUUUUUUUAUUUGAUUUUCCUUUAGAUUAUUUUUUUCAUGUAUUGCAUAGACUAGGUGUUUGGUGCUAAACUGCCAGUGUGUUUGGAAGGGUAGAGAAGCUUCAAUUGGAAUAAAAAAAUAAUUUCCCCC
rnacentral:lncRNA from 1 species